AUAAGGUGAAUGCACCAUUUUGUAAGUCGCUCUGGAUAAGAGCGUCUGCUAAAUGACUUAAAUGUAAAUGUAAAGAAGGUAAGACCUUUAGGCAGUUUUAUGUAAUAUUUCAUCUUAAUCAAUUCAAUUUCAAUCAUAAAAUUCACUGAUGCAUGUAUGCUGUAUUUCAACAUAUGUUUAUCUUUACCUGGUUCAUACAGUCCAUCACAGGAUCCUCAGUCUCUCAAAAUGUGGUUAUGUCCGGUAUUUGCUGGAGAAAUAGUGGAAGAAGAGGGGAGACAUGCCUCCCCUGCAGCCCAAGCACAUGAGGAAGGCUGUCAGGAGGCUAAAGAACAGAGCAGAUCCCCAAUAUAAAGCACAAUAACAUUCUCUUCCACUGAGCCACUCAUGCCUUGCUGAUUAUAGAUGGACAGAGCCAAGCAGGGAUGUAUUCCACCUUUUAGAUGGUGGCAACUUACACACCACUUUAUCAUGUUCAUUCUCUCUAUUCCAAUGUCCACUGGCAUUGAGAAUGUCUGGCCAUGAAGGCAAAUGCAGUAUACUGCUGUCAGGAAUAGUCCAACUCCAAAGUCAAUCUCUGUGUUAGUUGAGGGUAUUUAUUGGAUAUACUUGUCAAUAAUAGAAUAGCAUCAAGGUUUGAUGAAAAUAUUAGAUCUACUUAUUAUUUGAGCUGAAGCAUAAAGGAUGUAUCCAACAUUGGUCCCUGCUAGUGCCUCAUGGAAAAAAGUGUUUUAAUACAGAAUUUGGGUCAAUAAGACAUUUCAAUAAAUAAAAUGUAUCUUCUCAUUAGAGGACAGGUAAAGUCUCGUAAA